rnacentral:rRNA from 1 species
ACGAAGGACCCGAGCGUUAUCCGGAUUUAUUGGGUUUAAAGGGUGCGUAGGCGUCCUGGAAAGUUACGGUUGAAAUCUCCUUGCUCAACAAGGAAACUGGCCGUAAAACUAUCAGGAUUGAGUACAUUUGAAGCGGGCGGAAUGUGUCAUGUAGCGGUGAAAUGCAUAGAUAUGACACAGAACACCGAUUGCGAAGGCAGCUCGCUAAACUGUAACUGACGCUGAGGCACGAAAGCGUGGGGAUCAAACAGGA